AAUAAUUUUGGUACUCACGUAAUAUUCUCCAUGCAAAAUUUCAUCAAAAACAAAUCCACGCACCUUCACACAUCACCAAAGACGAAAUCCCCAAGGUGAUAUUGAACGCCACUUCAACUUCUACACUGAGGAGAAGGCACUCAAGACAAAUAUCCGUUCAUGUUGUCUGCAAGUGAUUCCAGACGUUUCAGGGCAACAGUGCUGGACGCUGGACAGUGGAUUGCUGAAAGGGAAAACAUCCAGUUGGCUACGUACUACAAGGCAACAACAAACAUUAAGUCAAUCACAAAUGAUGGUGAAGAUGAAAAAUCCGUUCCACACUACCCUGUCUCACAACAGCAGCAUGUUCCUGGAUCAUUUGAUCCUCACUCUAGGGACUAGGCAUCUAAUUAAAUUAAUGUUCACCUGUAUCACCCCUUUAGCUUUAUUCCUGUAAUUCUAGUACCAUCUAGCGUCACGAAGGACAAUCUUAUUCAAAUUCCCAAAGAUUUGAAUUAGAAAAAAAUUUACGUUGUGAAACAAUAAUAAAGAACGGAAGAGACAUGGUAAAACUGCAUUGCAUCACAAUUCGAGUAGGCUACGCUACUUUUCUUUCCAAAAGGGUUUCCAAUUUAGUUUCAAUUACUGGAAUGCAACAAUGAAGAUUAGGAGGAAAUCAUUUUAACUAAACCGAUUUAUUUUUGUUCAAAACCCUAAACAGUCUAGUUAAUUUUCGAUUGGAAAAAAGAAAUAAUAAAAGGAAGGAAAAAUAAGGCAGAAAGGU
rnacentral:lncRNA from 1 species